rnacentral:rRNA from 1 species
CAGUAGCCGCGGGAAUACGAAGGGUGCAAGCGUUAAUCGGAAUUACUGGGCGUAAAGGGUGCGUAGGCGGUUCGUUAAGUCUGUCGUGAAAUCCCCGGGCUCAACCUGGGAAUGGCGAUGGAUACUGGCGAGCUAGAGUGUGUCAGAGGAUGGUGGAAUUCCCGGUGUAGCGGUGAAAUGCGUAGAGAUCGGGAGGAACAUCAGUGGCGAAGGCGGCCAUCUGGGACAACACUGACGCUGAAGCACAAAAGCGUGGGGAGCAAACAGGAUUAGAUACCCCAGUAGUCCCUGUCUCUUAUAC